CAGUUGCCUAUGGAGUCCAUGGGGCUCAGAGACAGGGGAAGGGAUCAUGUCAAAUGUUUCAACUUCAAUGAAAUCUCAGUCCCAUCAACACCUUCCUCUUAAGAUGUCCCAAGACAGAUCUUGAUACAUAAAGUUGAUCUUCUCUUGCUUGAACAGGUGAGAGUGCAAUUCUGGGCUUUCCUUGACAGUUUUAUCAACCUUUUACUGCAGUGGGCUUAAUCAGGGUCACACAGAGUGAUUCUUGUUGGUCUCAAAGAAAUCUGCUUUGAAACAAAAGUAUACACCUCACACAUGGUUAUGGGCUUAAACACAAGAAGUGACCUGUACCGUGUCGGAUAGAGUUUAAAUGUAUUCUGUUUCGAGUUUGCAUCCCAAUAUUACACUAUAUACAUCACAGAAGACUGAAAUAUAACAAAACUGUUUGAUACUGAAACACUGGAUUUUUGUUGUAAACGUUUUCAAUAUACUGUAUAUAAUUAUUAUUUUUCAAAAAUAUUAAUAACCUUCCACCCAUGAAGCCAAAGAGGGUGCCUUUGGUCAUUGAGUGCAGGGAAGUGCUACAUAGAGGAUACAUCUACAGUACUUGUUAUGUCAAAUAUAUCCCAAACAUAAAUUAUAGAGAAAUGUCUGGUCCAUGUAUUGAUUGUUUUGUUUUGUCUUAUUAAUCAGGGAUGCCAACAUCACAUGCUGCAGAGUAGAUUGAAUGUAUUUGGAUGAACUGAUGAAGAUACAAGGAUGGAAGACUACAUGUCAGCAUCUCAACUCAAGGGUCCUAACUGGUGUCAAACAUUAAGCCCUUAUGGACGGUAGGGCUUUCUGCUUAAGAUUUGACAUCAAAACUAGAAAGAUGGGGUUCUACCUCACCGCCAACAUUGAGCCGUACCCCACAGGAAGACAGAAGGCUACCAAAAUAUGGGAAUCUGCCUCAGGUGGUACUGCACAGUGUUGUUAAUCUCAUGGACAAGCUCCAUCCCAUGUGGUCUGACUGUUUUCUGUUGUGUUUGUCUCUCCCAGCUCACCCAUCCAGAAGGCCUUGUGAUGCUGGGGCCAGACAUCCUGCAGAAACAUCUCCAAAUGAAAAGCCUGGAGAUAUAAUCCCUGCUGGACCGGAUUCAGACCAGCGUGGCCUACCAGCAUUGGGCCAAUCCCCACAACAUUAAGCCCCCGUACAGCCUCAUUGCCCAGAUGCAUAGACUCAGAAGCACAUGGAAUAACAAACCUUGCCCAAAAAGACCAAAGCACCCAUGGCCUCUA